UGGUGAAUGACAUCUAGACCCUUCUGUCC
rnacentral:piRNA from 1 species